rnacentral:rRNA from 1 species
CAGUGGCGAACGGGUGAGUAACACGUGGGCAAUCUGCCCUGCACUCUGGGACAAGCCCUGGAAACGGGGUCUAAUACCGGAUACGACCUUCCCCUGCAUGGGGGUUGGUGGAAAGCUCCGGCGGUGCAGGAUGAGCCCGCGGCCUAUCAGCUUGUUGGUGGGGUAAUGGCCUACCAAGGCGACGACGGGUAGCCGGCCUGAGAGGGCGACCGGCCACACUGGGACUGAGACACGGCCCAGACUCCUACGGGAGGCAGCAGUGGGGAAUAUUGCACAAUGGGCGAAAGCCUGAUGCAGCGACGCCGCGUGAGGGAUGACGGCCUUCGGGUUGUAAACCUCUUUCAGCAGGGAAGAAGCGAAAGUGACGGUACCUGCAGAAGAAGCACCGGCUAACUACGUGCCAGCAGCCGCGGUAAUACGUAGGGUGCGAGCGUUGUCCGGAAUUAUUGGGCGUAAAGAGCUCGUAGGCGGCUUGUCACGUCGGGUGUGAAAGCCCGGGGCUUAACCCCGGGUCUG